UACGUAGGUGGCAAGCGUUGUCCGGAUUUACUGGGCGUAAAGAGCGCGCAGGCGGUCGUACAAGUCGCGUGUGAAAGCCCCCGGCUCAACUGGGGAGGGUCACGCGAUACUGUUCGACUCGAAGGCAGGAGAGGGAAGCGGAAUUCCCGGUGUAGUGGUGAAAUGCGUAGAUAUCGGGAGGAACACCAGUGGCGAAGGCGGCUUCCUGGCCUGUUCUUGACGCUGAGGCGCGAAAGCGUGGGUAGCAAACAGG
rnacentral:rRNA from 1 species